AUUGCAUUCCUUUCCUAAUUCAUCUCUCAAAUGCCAGAGUUGCUCCAAAACAGGGAAAAAACCAAAACAAACAAAGCAAAACAAAAUAAAACAAGAGGAUCAAAGUGUAUGUCUCUGCUGGAAGAAACAGAAGCAGAAAGGCAGGGGAGAAGAUUUAGCUCUUGGGUGGAUUUUGCUGAAAUGUUCUAUUUGUGAGCAGUGAUUUGUACCAGGUAAUGUGAACUAGGUUGCCCUCAAGUCUCUUUACAGAUUACACCCCAUUUCCUUUACCGCGCUGCUAAGUAAUUCUUAGGGAAUUAUUCCUCAUCAAACUUCUCUCUGCUAACAGUGAUCAGCCACACAUGCUUCCACUUUAUGGACCGCUGGACAGCCGGUGGCUUCAUAAAGCUGCCUGCCUUUCCAACUGUUCAGGCUGAGGCUGCAGGCUUUCCACCCACCGCUUUCCCGUGAGGUAAAGAGAAUGUUCAUACCUCAGGUCUUGUUACCAAGCAACAGAGUCCCAUUUGCCAAUUGCCACCAUUUCCUUCUCACAGUAUUACAGGCCUUAUUAUUAACAUUUAGUUCAGAGAAAUUGCUGUCAUUAUGUGAAGUAACUUCCUUUAGAGGUUAUUCAUUAACCUUAGGUAUUUUACUGUGUAAUUAUAAUUGUCAAGUGCCGCAGGCUUGGAAAACCUUUGAACUCCUCAAGGUAUGAGGCCAUGGCAGAGAGGAUAGUAUCUGAUUUUUUCCCUCCCUUUUCUAGUUGUUUUAAUCUUGAAGGUGUCUCAUUUUCCCUGUGGAGGUGUCUGCCUUCCUAGAGGGUAAACUUCCAGAUUGCUGACCGGAAGCUCAGAAGAUAGUGAUGGAGGCACUGGUCGGGGAGAGUCUGAUUUCCUCAAAUACUGCAGACUAGAGGGAAAUGGCAUCCUCUUAAGGAAAAAAUCGCGGGGAUAUUCAUAAGACCCGUAUGGUUGGCACAUACUCUGGUGUGAACGUGGGACUCCGCGAAGACGUCGCACAAUACCUGGAAUGGUAUUCUGUUGUGCUGACACAACAGAAAACCGUCGUCCUAUUGCUCACUCAAUGGCUCCAUAAAACCAAUUUUUCACUCCCGGGCUUUGCAGCACCCAGGUGUGCUUUCCAUAAUCUGCCUAUGACACAGGCAUCCUCACUAGCCAUCGCUUACACAGUUACCCGUGUGAUUUUCUCCAUCCCGGCGUGGUUGCCAUCGUCUUCGGUCCCCAUCCAGUACAACUUCGGCCACAGGCGCCUGCAUCACGGGUGCCCUAAAAAAUAAAAGGAGACGUGUUCCCUCCUCCCAGGUUUCUGGUUUCUCCACCCAGUCUCCCCACCGUCCUCCACUCCCCGCACCCCAGCCCUUCCGGCCUCCGCCCAGACCGGGAGAAGCGGGCCUGACAUUCCAGCCUGCCCUUUGAUCGUGACCCCUGAACAGGCCCGGCUGGCGGUGGUGUUUUCUGGCGUGAACCGAGCUGCAGACAAAAGCAGCGCGAUCUCCGGGAGGAGAGCCCGGACAGGCUGCACAGGAGCCGCCGCACAAGUCUGGACGCAGAGGUGCGCGCGGGAGCAGGGCUGCGCGCCCUGGCAGGAGCCCGAGCUGCAGGCCUCGGCUGGGAAGCGUCCCUCCGUCAUUUCCCCUGCCUCCGCCGUCCCCAGCUUACCCUUGACAGCUCUCUUUGAUCUGCAAAACAGGAGGGAAUAGGGGAUACUUUGAUAUUCUUUAAAAGGCCCUGGGAUUUGCUGCUUUCUCCCCAAAUGAAGGGCUGCUGGAGAGUUUCUG